rnacentral:lncRNA from 1 species
UUUUUAUAUUGCCAACUCGAAGAGGCUGGGCAGCCAUACAUAAUGUUAGGCCGAGGCCAUCAGCAGCAGGUUACAAGAUGGGGAACAGAAAGAAAACAUGAAUACAACUAGAUUACGGCCCGCUUAGGCGGGAAAUUAGGAAAUUCGUCCAGGAGUGGAGAGCCUCUGUUCUAUCGUGAGAAGAGCAAAACCGGCGAGCCCAUAGCUCAAUGUCAUUGACAGCAUAUUGAGCGUAAAAGCCACACACAGGGGAAUAAUCACGUUUUAUCCGUCGUAGUUCCCAUCAGCAAACUUGUCCUCGGGGUAAAACACGGCAAUCACCUGCCUCCCGCGAAACCACGUCAAGUGCAACAUCGUCUUUGAAUGUGUUGAGCUGUCGAGAUCCGCGUACUCGAGAAACACCUGCAAUGCAAUGCAAUGCAACACAAAAAGGCUGAUUAAUUUCCCUCUGUUGCAAGAUCUCGUCUCAUCAUCUGUCAAAAUAAACUACUGUAGUACUCCGUAUAAAUCAAAGACUAAACUGUGCUCGCUCACCUUGCCAACUCCGGCGACCGGAGCGCUGCCGGGGUCAGGCCGUGGGACCACGGCUCUCACCAGCUUACCACCGUGUCUCCGCCCUUCUACCGUCAUCCACCAGCAAAAGUUGCGGUAAUACACAUCGUCCGCGAGCCGAUCGGGUGAAAACAUGCGGGUCAAGCAGAGCACCUUUGUGGCUCCAUCUUCGUGCACGGGGCUCUGCUUAAUCAGAUAGAUCGUCGGUGAGAAACUGAUUCUACUGCACAAAUUCUUGAACUUGGACACGUGAAAGAACGAGAGGAGGUGAAUUAGUAAGAGUUACCGGAGUAGCAGCACUUGGAGGAAGUGGCGUGUAGUAAAGUACUCCAUUCGUCCCGAAAUACUUGUCUUACAAAUGAUAGAAAAUGGAUGUAUCUGUAACUAAAAUAAGUCUAGAUAUAAUCAUUUCUAGGACAAGUAUUUCCGAACCGAGGGAGUACAAAGGAAAGCGGAGUGCCCUGCAGCGCGCGCAAAUAUAUCAGUGGUAGUAGUAGAAGAAUUAAAGGAAUCAAGCCAUAUAUCUAUAAGAUGUACUUGUAUCAAUGUAUAUAUACCUCUGGUGUUUUGCCGUAGCGUGACUGGUACAAGACUGGAAUCGGCUGAAAGAUGCAAAAUUGGAGGUCAGAAUAUAUCAUCAUGUUUAAGCUAGCAUAAUAAGCGGAUAUAUCUAUUUGUUUCUCCCCGUGGGCGUGGGGAAAUCCCUGGGAGUGAAACCAACCAAUAGUAUGCGAGGAAUCGGCUCGGCGGGAGGUGCGAACCUGCUGCUGGUAGCGGCUGUCGGUCGGUGGGGAGAGAUCCCCGUGGUUGGCCAUGAGACAAGGCGGCGGCGGCGAUUCCGUAUGUUCGUGGAGCUUGGUCGAUCGGAACGCGUGGGAUUAGAUUGCCCCGGGUGGAGACGGGGGAUUUGGGCUGUUCUUGUAAUGUGACGUGCGGGGCCCGAUUUCAGACAGGAGUCGGUUGUGUUUUGUUUGUAUUUCUUGGACACGGUGGUGCCAAACAGUUAUCUUUGAUACUCCCUUCAUUUUACAAUGUAGUGCGUCUACGUUUCUCAAGAUCUAAGUUUAACCAUAAAUUUAACCAACGAGACCGACUAUGAUAGAAGCAAAAAUUAUACCACUGAAUUUGAAUGAAAUCGGCCCCGCAUUAGAUUGUGAAAUGAAGGGAGUAUUGUUUUGUUUAGAGCAUUGACACUCGGCGCCCCAUAGGCCGUCCGGAUUGGCGCCGAAACGGGCGCUAUGGGGGGCAUCCGGACCAGACGGUCCCUAGCUAUGGGGGAAUCCUAGAGAGGCCAUCAUCGCCAUGAAGGCCAAGGACCAGAGGGAGAAUGAUACGUCUCCGUCGUAUCUACUUUUCCAAACACUUUUGCCCUUGUUUUGGACUCUAAUUUUCAUGAUUUGAAUGGAACUAACCCGGACUGACGCUGUUUUCAGCAGAAUUGCCAUGGUGUUAUUUAUGUGCAGAAACAAAAGUUCUCGGAAUGACCUGAAACUCCACGGAACUUAUUUUUGGAAAAUAUUAGAAAUACUGGAAGAAGAAUCCACGUCAGGGGGGCCUCCACCUAUCACGGACGGUGGGGGCGCGCCCCCUGCCUCGUGGGCCCCCUGACGCUCCACCGACCUUAACUCCAACUCCAUAUAUUCGUGUCCGGGGAGAAAAAAAUCAGGGAGAAGGAUUCAUCGCGUUUUACGAUACGGAGCCGCCGCCAAGCCCUAAAACCUCUCGAGAGGGCUAAUCUGGAGUCCGUUCGGGGCUCCGGAGAGGGGAAUCCGUCGCCAUCGUCAUCAUCAACCAUCCUCCAUCACCAAAUUCAUGAUGCUCACCGCCGUGCGUGAGUAAUUCCAUCGUAGGCUUGCUGGACGGUGAUGGGUUGGAUGAGAUUUAUCAUGUAAUCGAGUUAGUUUGUUAGGGUUUGAUCCCUAGUAUCCUGUAUGCUCUGAGAUUGAUGUUGCUAUGACUUUUCUAUGCUUAAUGCUUGUCACUAGGGCCCGAGUGCCAUGAUUUCAGAUCUGAACCUAUUAUGUUUUCAUGAAUAUAUGUGAGUUCUUGAUCCUAUCUUGCAAGUCUAUAGUCACCUACUAUGUGUUAUAAUCCGGCAACCCCGAAGUGACAAUAAUCGGGACCACUCCCGGUGAUGACCAUAGUUUGAGGAGUUCAUGUAUUCACUAUGUGUUAAUGCUUUGGUCCGGUACUCUAUUAAAAGUAGGCCUUAAUAUCCCUUAGUUUCCAUUAGGACCCCGCUGCCACGGGAGGGUAGGACAAAAGAUGUCAUGCAAGUUCUUUUCCAUAAGCACGUAUGACUAUAUUCGGAAUACAUGCCUACAUUACAUUGAUGAAUUGGAGCUAGUUCUGUGUCACCCUAUGUUAUGACUGUUACAUGAUGAGCCGCAUCCGGCAUAAUUCUCCAUCACCGAUCCAGUGCCUACGAGCUUUUCACAUACUGUUCUUCGCUUAUUUACUUUUCCGUUGCUACUGUUACAAUCACUACAGAACCCAAAAAUAUUACUUUUGCUACCGUUACUGUUACUUUCAUAUUACUUUGCUACUAAAUACCUUGCUGCGGAUACUAAGUUACCCAGGUGUGGUUGAAUUGACAACUCAACUGCUAAUACUUGAUAAUAUUCUUUGGCUCCCCUUGUGUUGAAUCAAUAAAUUUGGGUUGAAUACUCUACCCUCGAAAACUAUUGCGAUCCCCUAUACUUGUGGGUUAUCAAGACUAUUUUCUGGCACCAUUGCCGGGGAGCAUAGCUCUAUUCUUUGAGUCACUUGGGAUUUAUAUCUGCUGGUCACUAUGAAGAACUUGAAAGACGCCAAAACAAAAAUUUAUCCCUCAACUACGAGGGGAGGUAAGGAACUGCCAUCUAGCUCUGCACUUGAUUCACCUUCUGGUUUGAGUAAGCUUGCGACACGUAAACCUGCUUCUGCUAUUCAUUCUGAUAUGUCGCAUGUUAUUGAUGAUGCUUUGGGGAUCGUAGCAGAAUUAUAAAAUUUUCCUACGCUCACCAAGAUCCAUCUAUGGAGUAUACUAGCAACGAGGGGAAAGGAGUGCAUCUACAUACCCUUGUAGAUCGCGAGCGGAAGCGUUCCAAUGAACGAGGUUGAUGGAGUCGUACUCGCCGUGAUCCAAAUCACCGAUGACCGAGUGCCGAACGGACGGCACCUCCGCGUUCAACACAUGUACGGUGCAGCGACGUCUCCUCCUUCUUGAUCCAGCAAGGGGGAAGGAGAGGUUGAUGGAGAUCCAGCAGCACGACGGCGUGGUGGUGGAUGUAGCGAGAUCUCGGCAGGGCUUCGCCGAGUGUCUGCGAGAGGGAGAGGUGUAGCAGGGGAGGAGGGAGGCGCCCAAGGCUGUUGUCUUGCUGCCCUCCCUCCCCCCUUUAUAUAGGCCCCCUGGGAGGGGGGGCGCCGGCCAAGACCCAUCUAGAUGGGGGGGGCAGCGGCCAAGGGGGGUAACUUACCCCCCAAGUCAAGUGGGGCGCCCCCCACCCUAGGGUUUCCAACCCUAGGCGCAGGGGGAGGCCCAUGGGGGGCGUCCCAGCCCACUAAGGGCUGGUUCCCUUCCCACUUCAGCCCAUGGGGCCCUCCGGGAUAGGUGGCCCCACCCGGUGGACCCCCGGGACCCUUCCGGUGGUCCCGGUACAAUACCGAUAACCCCCGAAACUUUCCCGAUGGCCGAAACUGGACUUCCUAUAUAUAAUUCUUCACCUCCGAACCAUUCCGGAACUCCUCGUGACGUCCGGGAUCUCAUCCGGGACUCCGAACAACUUUCGGGUUUCCGCAUACUCAUAUCUCUACAACCCUAGCGUCACCGAACCUUAAGUGUGUAGACCCUACGGGUUCGGGAGACAUGCAGACAUGACCGAGACGCAUCUCCGGUCAAUAACCAACAGCGGGAUCUGGAUACCCAUGUUGGCUCCCACAUGUUCCACGAUGAUCUCAUCGGAUGAACCACGAUGUCGAGAAUUCAAUCAAUCCCGUAUACAAUUCCCUUUGUCAAUCGGUAUGUUACUUGCCCGAGAUUCGAUCGUCGGUAUCCCAAUACCUUGUUCAAUCUCGUUACCGGCAAGUCUCUUUACUCGUACCGCAAUGCAUGAUCCCGUGACUAACGCCUUAGUCACAUUGAGCUCAUUAUGAUGAUGCAUUACCGAGUGGGCCCAGAGAUACCUCUCCGUCAUACGGAGUGACAAAUCCCAGUCUCAAUCCGUGCCAACCCAACAGACACUUUCGGAGAUACCCGUAGUGUACCUUUAUAGUCACCCAGUUACGUUGUGACGUUUGGCACACCCAAAGUACUCCUAUGGUAUCCGGGAGUUGCACGAUCUCAUGGUCUAAGGAGAAGAUACUUGACAUUGGAAAAGCUCUAGCAAACGAACUACACGAUCUUUGAGCUAUGCUUAGGAUUGGGUCUUGUCCAUCACAUCAUUCUCCUAAUGAUGUGAUCCCGUUAUCAAUGACAUCCAAUGUCCAUAGUCAGGAAACCAUGACUAUCUGUUGAUCAACGAGCUAGUCAACUAGAGGCUUACUAGGGACACGUUGUGGUCUAUGUAUUCACACAUGUAUUACGAUUUCCGGAUAACACAAUUAUAGCAUGAACAAUAGACAAUUAUCAUGAACAAAGAAAUAUAAUAAUAACCAUUUAUUAUUGCCUCUAGGGCAUAUUUCCAACAGUCUCCCACUUGCACUAGAGUCAAUAAUCUAGUUACAUUGUGAUGAAUCGAACACCCAUAGCGUCCUGGUGUUGAUCAUGUUUUGCUCUAGGGAGAGGUUUAGUCAACGGAUCUGCUACAUUCAGGUCCGUAUGUACUUUACAAAUAUCUAUGUCCCCAUUUUGAACACUUUCACGAAUGGAGUUGAAGCGAUGCUUGAUAUGCCUGGUCUUCCUGUGAAACCUGGGCUCCUUCGCAAGGGCAAUAGCUCCAGUGUUGUCACAGAAGAGAGUCAUCGGGCCCGACGCAUUGGGAAUCAUCCCUAGGUCGGUAAUGAACUCCUUCAUCCAGACUGCUUCCUGUGCUGCCUCUGAGGCUGCCAUGUACUCCGCUUCACAUGUAGAUCCCGCCACGACGCUUUGCUUGCAACUGCACCAGCUUACUGCUCCUCCAUUCAAAAUAUACACGUAUCCGGUUUGUGACUUCGAGUCAUCCAGAUCUGUGUCGAAGCUUGCGUCGACGUAACCCUUUACGACGAGCUCUUCGUCACCUCCAUAAACGAGAAACAUAUCCUUAGUCCUCUUCAGGUACUUCAGGAUAUUCUUGACCGCUGUCCAGUGUUCCAUGCCGGGAUUACUUUGGUACCUUCCUACCAAACUUACGGCAAGGUUUACAUCAGGUCUGGUACACAGCAUGGCAUACAUAAUAGACCCUAUGGCCGAGGCAUAGGGGAUGACACUCAUCUCUUCUAUAUCUUCUGCCGUGGUCGGGCAUUGAGCCGUGCUCAAUUGCACACCUUGCAAUACAGGCAAGAACCCCUUCUUGGACUGAUCCAUACUGAACUUCUUCAAUAUCUUGUCAAGGUAUGUACUCUGUGAAAGACCAAUGAGGCGUCUUGAUCUAUCUCUAUAGAUCUUGAUGCCUAAUAUGUAAGCAGCUUCUCCAAGGUCCUUCAUUGAAAAACACUUAUUCAAAUAGGCCUUUAUACUUUCCAAGAAUUCUAUAUCAUUUCCCAUCAACAAUAUGUCAUCCACAUAUAAUAUGAGAAAUGCUACAGAGCUCCCACUCACUUUCUUGUAAACACAGGCUUCUCCAUAAGUCUGUGUAAACCCAAACGCUUUGAUCAUCUCAUCAAAGCGAAUGUUCCAACUCCGAGAUGCUUGCACCAGCCCAUAGAUUGAGCGCUGGAGCUUGCAUACUUUGUUAGCAUUCUUAGGAUCGACAAAACCUUCCGGCUGCAUCAUAUACAACUCUUCCUUAAGGAAGCCGUUAAGGAAUGCCGUUUUGACGUCCAUCUGCCAUAUCUCAUAAUCAUAGUAUGCGGCAAUUGCUAACAUGAUUCGGACGGACUUCAGCUUCGCUACGGGUGAGAAAGUCUCAUCGUAGUCAACCCCUUGAACUUGUCGAUAACCCUUAGCAACAAGUCGAGCUUUGUAGAUGGUCACAUUACCAUCUGCGUCCGUCUUCUUCUUAAAGAUCCAUUUGUUUUCUAUGGCUCGCCGCUCAUCGGGCAAGUCAGUCAAAGUCCAUACUUUGGUUUCAUACAUGGAUUCUAUCUCGGAUUUCAUGGCUUCUAGCCAUUUGUCGGAAUCCGGGCCCGCCAUCGCUUCUUCAUAGUUCGAAGGUUCACCGUUGUCUAACAACAUGAUUUCCAGGACAGGGUUGCCGUACCACUCUGGUGCGGAACGUGUCCUUGUGGACCUACGAAGUUCAGUAACUUGAUCUGAAGCUUCAUGAUCAUCAUCAUUAACUUCCUCCCCAGUCGGUGUAGGCACCAUAGGAACAUUUUCCCGCGCUGCGCUACUUUCCGGUUCGGAAGGGGUGACUAUCACCUCAUCAAGUUCCACUUUCCUCCCACUCAAUUCUUUCGAGAGAAACUCCUUCUCUAGAAAGGACCCGUUCUUGGCAACGAAGAUCUUUCCCUCGGAUCUGAGGUAGAAGGUAUACCCAAUAGUUUCCUUAGGGUAUCCUAUGAAGACGCAUUUUUACGACUUGGGUUCGAGCUUUUCAGGUUGAAGUUUCUUGACAUAAGCAUCGCAUCCCCAAACUUUUAGAAACGACAGCUUAGGUUUCUUCCCAAACCAUAAUUCAUACGGUGUCGUCUCAACGGAUUUCGACGGAGCCCUAUUUAAAGUGAAUGCGGCAGUCUCUAAAGCAUAGCCCUAAAAUGAGAGCGGUAAAUCGGUAAGAGACAUCAUAGAUCGCACCAUAUCCAAUAGAGUGCGAUUACGACGUUCGGACACACCAUUUCUCUGAGGUGUUCCAGGCGGCGUGAGUUGUGAAAAUAUUCCACAUUUCCUUAAGUGUGCACCAAACUCGUGACUUAAAUAUUCUCUCCCACGAUCUGAUCAUAAGAAUUUUAUUUUCCUGUCACGUUGAUUCUCAACUUCACUAUGAAAUUCCUUGAACUUUUCAAAGGUUUCAGACUUGUGUUUCAUUAGGUAGACAUACCCAUAUCUACUUAAAUCAUCAGUGAGAGUGAGAACAUAACGAUAUCCUCCACGAGCCUCAACACUCAUUGGACCGCACACAUCGGUAUGUAUGAUUUCCAAUAAGUUGGUUGCUCGCUCCAUUGUUUCGGAGAACGGAGUCUUGGUCAUCUUACCCAUGAGGCAUGGUUCGCACGUGUCAAAUGAUUCGUAAUCAAGAGACUCCAAAAGUCCAUCUGCAUGGAGCUUCUUCAUGCGCUUGACACCAAUGUGACCAAGGCGGCAGUGCCACAAGUAUGUGGGACUAUUGUUAUCAACUUUACAUCUUUUGGUAUUCACACUAUGAACAUGUGUAACAUCACGUUCGAGAUUCAUCAAAAAUAAACCAUUGACCAGCGGGGCAUGACCAUAAAACAUAUCUCUCAAAUAAAUAGAACAACCAUUAUUCUCGGAUUUAAAUGAGUAGCCAUCUCGAAUUAAACGAGAUCCAGAUACAAUGUUCAUGCUCAAAGCUGGCACUAAAUAACAAUUACUGAGGUUUAAAACUAAUCCCGUGGGUAGAUGCAGAGGUAGCGUGCCGACGGCGAUCACAUCNNNNNNNNNNNNNNNNNNNNNNNNNNNNNNNNNNNNNNNNNNNNNNNNNNNNNNNNNNNNNNNNNNNNNNNNNNNNNNNNNNNNNNNNNNNNNNNNNNNNNNNNNNNNNNNNNNNNNNNNNNNNNNNNNNNNNNNNNNNNNNNNNNNNNNNNNNNNNNNNNNNNNNNNNNNNNNNNNNNNNNNNNNNNNNNNNNNNNNNNNNNNNNNNNNNNNNNNNNNNNNNNNNNNNNNNNNNNNNNNNNNNNNNNNNNNNNNNNNNNNNNNNNNNNNNNNNNNNNNNNNNNNNNNNNNNNNNNNNNNNNNNNNNNNNNNNNNNNNNNNNNNNNNNNNNNNNNNNNNNNNNNNNNNNNNNNNNNNNNNNNNNNNNNNNNNNNNNNNNNNNNNNNNNNNNNNNNNNNNNNNNNNNNNNNNNNNNNNNNNNNNNNNNNNNNNNNNNNNNNNNNNNNNNNNNNNNNNNNNNNNNNNNNNNNNNNNNNNNNNNNNNNNNNNNNNNNNNNNNNNNNNNNNNNNNNNNNNNNNNNNNNNNNNNNNNNNNNNNNNNNNNNNNNNNNNNNNNNNNNNNNNNNNNNNNNNNNNNNNNNNNNNNNNNNNNNNNNNNNNNNNNNNNNNNNNNNNNNNNNNNNNNNNNNNNNNNNNNNNNNNNNNNNNNNNNNNNNNNNNNNNNNNNNNNNNNNNNNNNNNNNNNNNNNNNNNNNNNNNNNNNNNNNNNNNNNNNNNNNNNNNNNNNNNNNNNNNNNNNNNNNNNNNNNNNNNNNNNNNNNNNNNNNNNNNNNNNNNNNNNNNNNNNNNNNNNNNNNNNNNNNNNNNNNNNNNNNNNNNNNNNNNNNNNAUGAAGUCGUCACGCCAACGAUUACUUCUACUUGUAUGGCUAACGCGUUUAGCAACAAAGUAAAGUAAAUUACAUGGCGUUAUUCAAUGACACGCAGGUCAUGCAAAAUAAUAAAGACAACUCCUAUGGCUCCUGCCGGUUGUCAUACUCAUCGACAUGCAAGUCGUGAUUCCUAUUACAAGAAUAUGAUCAAUCUCAUACAUCACAUAUAUCAUUCAUCACAUCUUCUGGCCAUAUCACAUCACAUAGCACUUGCUGCAAAAACAAGUUAGACGUCCUCUAAUUGUUGUUGCAAGUUUUUACGUGGUUUGUAGGUUUCUAGCAAGAACGUUUUCUUACCUACGUAUGACCACAACGUGAUUUGCCAAUUUCUAUUUACCCUUCAUAAGGACCCUUUUCAUCGAAUCCGUUCCGACUAAAGUAGGAGAGACAGACACCCUCUAGCCACCUUAUGCAACUAGUGCAUGUCAGUCGGUGGAACCUGUCUCACGUAAGCGUACGUGUAAGGUCGGUCCGGGCCGCUUCAUCCUACAAUGCCGCCGAAACAAGAAACGACUAGUAGCGGCAAGAAGAAUUGGCAAACUCAACGCCCACAACUGCUUUGUCUUCUACUCGUGCAUAGUAACUACGCAUAGGCCUGGCUCAUGAUGCCACUGUUGAGAAUCGUAGCAUAAUUUAAAAUUUUCCUACGCUCACCAAGAUGCAUCUAUGGAGUCUACUAGCAACGAGGGGAAAGGAGUGCAUCUACAUACCCUUGUAGAUCGUGAGCGGAAGCGUUCCAAUGAGCGUGGAUGACGGAGUCGUACUCGCCGUGAUCCAAAUCACCGAUGACCGAGUGUCGAACGGACGGCACCUCCGCGUUCAACACACGUACGGUGCAGCGAUGUCUCCUCCUUCUUGAUCCAGCAAGGGGGAAGGAGAGGUUGAUGGAGAUCCAACAGCACGACGGCGUGGUGGUGGAUGUAGCGGGUCUCCGGCAGGGCUUUGCCGAGCUUCUGCGAGAGAGAGAGAGAGAGAGAGAGAGAGAGAGAGAGAGAGAGAGAGAGAGAGAGAGAGAGAGGUGUUGCAGGGGAGGAGGGAGGCGCCCAAGGCUGUGUGUUGCUGCCCUCCCUCCCCCCUUUAUAUAGGCCCCCUUGGGAGGGGGGCCGGCCAAAACCCAUCUAGGGUUGGGGGGGCGGCGGCCAAGGAGUGGAAAGGGGUGCCUUGCCCCCCAAGGCAAGGGGGAAGCUCCCCCCUAGGGUUCCCAACCCUAGCGCAUGGGUGGAGGCCCAAGGGGGGCGCCCCAGCCCACUAAGGGCUGGUUCCCUUCCACUUUCAGUUCACGGGGCCCUCCGGGACAGGUGGCCCCACCCGGUGGACCCCCGGGACCCUUCCGGUGGUCCCAGUACAAUACCGGUAACCCCCGAAACUUUCCCGGUGGCCGAAACUUGACUUCCUAUAUAUAAUUCUUCACCUCCGGACCAUUCCGGAACCUCUCGUGACGUCCGGGAUCUCAUCCGGGACUCCGAACAACUUUCGGGUUUCCGCAUACAUAUAUCUCUACAACCCUAGCGUCACCGAACCUUAAGUGUGUAGACCCUACGGGUUCGGGAGACAUGCAGACAUGACCGAGACGCCUCUCCGGUCAAUAACCAACAGCGGGAUCUGGAUACCCAUGUUGGCUCCCACAUGUUCCACGAUGAUCUCAUCGGAUGAACCACGGUGUCGAGGAUUCAAUCAAUCCCGUAUGCAAUUCCCUUUGCCAAUCGGUAUGUUACUUGCCCGAGAUUCGAUCGUCGGUAUCCCAAUACCUUGUUCAAUCUCGUUACCGGCAAGUCUCUUUACUCGUACCGCAAUGCAUGAUCCCGUGACUAACGCCUUAGUCACAUUGAGCUCAUUAUGAUGAUGCAUUACCGAGUGGGCCCAGAGAUACCUCUCCGUCACACGGAGUGACAAAUCCCAGUCUCGAUCCGUGCCAACCCAACAGACACUUUCGGAGAUACCCGUAGUGCACCUUUAUAGUCACCCAGUUACGUUGUGACGUUUGGAACACCCAAAGCACUCCUACGGUAUCCGGGAGUUGCACGAUCUCAUGGUCUAAGGAAAAGAUACUUGACAUUGGAAAAGCUCUAGCAAACGAAACUACACGAUCUUUUAUGCUAUGCUUAGGAUUGGGUCUUGUCCAUCACAUCAUUCUCCUAAUGAUGUGAUCCCGUUAUCAAUGACAUCCAAUGUCCAUAGUCAGGAAACCAUGACUAUCUGUUGAUCAACGAGCUAGUCAACUAGAGGCUUACUAGGGACACGUUGUGGUCUAUGUAUUCACACAUGUAUUAUGAUUUCCGGACAAUACAAUUAUAGCAUGAACAAUAGACAAUUAUCAUGAACAAAGAAAUAUAAUAAUAACCAUUUAUUAUUGCCUCUAGGGCAUAUUUCCAACAGUCUCCCACUUGCACUAGAGUCAAUAAUCUAGUUACAUUGUGAUGAAUCGAACACCCAUUGCGUCCUGGUGUUGAUCAUGUUUUGCCCUAGGGAGAGGUUUAGUCAACGGAUCUGCUACAUUCAGGUCCGUAUGUACUUUACAAAUAUCUAUGUCUCCAUUUUGAACACUUUCACGAAUGGAGUUGAAGCGACGCUUGAUAUGCCUGGUCUUCCUAUGAAACCUGGGCUCCUUCGCAAGGGCAAUAGCUCCAGUGUUGUCACAGAAGAGAGUCAUUGGGCCCGACGCAUUGGGAAUCACCCCUAGGUCGGUAAUGAACUCCUUCAUCCAGACUGCUUCCUGUGCUGCCUCCGAGGCCGCCAUGUACUCCGCUUCACAUGUAGAUCCCGCCACGACGCUUUGCUUGCAACUGCACCAACUUACUGCUCCUCCAUUCAAAAUAUACACGUAUCCGGUUUGUGACUUUGAGUCAUCCAGAUCUGUGUCGAAGCUAGCGUCGACGUAACCCUUUACGACGAGCUCUUCGUCACCUCCAUACACGAGAAACAUAUCCUUAGUCCUCUUCAGGUACUUCAGGAUAUUCUUGACCGCUGUCAAGUGUUCCAUGCCGGGAUUACUUUGGUACCUUCCUACCAAACUUACGGCAAGGUUUACAUUAGGUCUGGUACACAGCAUGGCAUACAUAAUAGACCCUAUGGCCGAGGCAUAGGGGAUGACACUCAUCUUUUCUAUAUCUUCUGCCGUGGUCGGGCAUUGAGCCGUGCUCAAUUGCACACCUUGCAAUACAGGCAAGAACCCCUUCUUGGACUGAUCCAUAUUGAACUUCUCAAUAUCUUGUCAAGGUAUGUACUCUGUGAAAGACCAAUGAGGCGUCUCGAUCUAUCUCUAUAGAUCUUGAUGCCUAAUAUAUAAGCAGCUUCUCCAAGGUCCUUCAUUGAAAAACACUUAUUCAAAUAGGCCUUUAUACUUUCCAAGAAUUCUAUAUCAUUUCCCAUCAAUAGUAUGUCAUCCACAUAUAAUAUGAGAAAUGCUACAGAGCUCCCACUCACAUUCUUGUAAACACAGGCUUCUCCAUAAGUCUGUGUAAACCCAAACGCUUUGAUCAUCUCAUCAAAGCGAAUGUUCCAACUCCAAGAUGCUUGCACCAGCCCAUAGAUUGAGCGCUGGAGCUUGCAUACUUUGUUAGCAUUCUUAGGAUCGACAAAACCUUCCGGCUGCAUCAUAUACAACUCUUCCUUAAGGAAGCCGUUAAGGAAUGCCGUUUUGACGUCCAUCUGCCAUAUCUCAUAAUCAUAGUAUGCGGCAAAUGCUAACAUGAUUCGGACGGACUUCAGCUUCGCUACGGGUGAGAAAGUCUCAUCGUAGUCAACCCCUUGAACUUGUCGAUAACCCUUAGCGACAAGUCGAGCUUUGUAGAUGGUCACAUUACCAUCCGCGUGUGUCUUCUUCUUAAAGAUCCAUUUAUUUUCUAUGGCUCGCCGAUCAUCGGGCAAGUCAGUCAAAGUCCAUACUUCAUUUUCAUACAUGGAUCCUAUCUCGGAUUUCAUGGCUUCUAGCCAUUUGUCGGAAUCCGGGCCCGCCAUCGCUUCUUCAUAGUUCGAAGGUUCACCGUUGUCUAACAACAUGAUUUUCAGGACAGGGUUGCCGUACCACUCUGGUGCGGAAUGUGUCCUUGUGGACCUACGAAGUUCAGUAGUAACUUGAUCCGAAGCUUCAUGAUCAUCAUCAUUAACUUCCUCCCCAGUCGGUGUAGGCACCACAGGAACAUCUUCCCGCGCUACGCUACUUUCCGGUUCGGAAGGGGUGACUAUCACCUCAUCAAGUUCCACUUUCCUCCCACUCAAUUCUUUCGAGAGAAACUCUUUCUCCAGAAAGGACCCGUUCUUGGCAACAAAGAUCUUGCCUUCGGAUCUUAGGUAGAAGGUAUACCCAAUGGUUUCCUUAGGGUAUCCUAUGAAGACGCAUUUCUCCGACUUGGGUUCGAGCUUUUCAGGUUGAAGUUUCUUGACAUAAGCAUCACAUCCCCAAACUUUUAGAAACGACAGCUUAGGUUUCUUCCCAAACCAUAAUUCAUACGGUGUCGUCUCAACGGAUUUCGACGGAGCCCUAUUUAAAGUGAAUGCGGCAGUCUCUAAAGCAUAGCCCCAAAAUGAGAGCGGUAAAUCGGUAAGAGACAUCAUAGAUCGCACCAUAUCCAAUAGAGUGCGAUUACGACGUUCGGACACACCGUUUCGCUGAGGUGUUCCAGGCGGCGUGAGUUGUGAAACGAUUCCACAUUUCCUUAAGUGCGCACCAAAUUCGUGACUUAAAUAUUCUCCACCACGAUCUGAUCGUAAGAAUUUUAUUUUCCUGUCACGUUGAUUCUCAACCUCACUCUAAAAUUCCUUGAACUUUUCAAAGGUUUCAGACUUGUGUUUCAUUAAGUAGACAUACCCAUAUCUACGUAAGUCAUCAGUGAGAGUGAGAACAUAACGAUAUCCUUCGCGAGCCUCAACACUCAUUGGACCGCACACAUCGGUAUGUAUGAUUUCCUAUAAGUUGGUUGCUCGCUCCAUUGUUCCGGAGAAUGGAGUAUUGGUCAUCUUACCCAUGAGGCAUGGUUCGCACGUGUCAAAUGAUUCGUAAUCAAGAGACUCCAAAAGUCCAUCUGCAUGGAGCUUCUUCAUGCGCUUGACACCAAUAUGACCAAGGCGGCAGUGCCACAAGUAUGUGGGACUAUCGUUAUCAGCUUUACAUCUUUUGGUAUUCACACUAUGAAUAUGUGUAACAUCACGUUCGAGAUUCAUCAAGAAUAAACCAUUGACCAGCGGGGCAUGACCAUAAAACAUAUCUCUCAAAUAAAUAGAACAACCAUUAUUCUCGGAUUUAAAUGAGUAGUCAUCUCGAAUUAAAUGAGAUCCAGAUACAAUGUUCAUGCUCAAAGCUGGCACUAAAUAACAAUUAUUGAGGUUUAAAACUAAUCCCGUAGGUAGAUGCGGAGGUAGCGUGCCGACGGCGAUCACAUCGACCUUGGAACCAUUCCCGACGCGCAUCGUCACCUCGUCCUUUGCCAGUCUCCGUUUAUUCCGCAGUUCCUGUUUUGAGUUACAACUAUGAGCAACCACACCGGUAUCAAAUACCCAGGAGCUACUACGAGUACUAGUAAGGUACACAUCAAUUACAUGUAUAUCACAUAUACCUUUGGUGUUGCCGGCCUUCUUGUCCGCUAAGUAUUUGGGGCAGUUCCGCUUCCAGUGACCACUUCCCUUGCAAUAAAAGCACUCAGUCUCAGGCUUGGGUCCAUUCUUCGACUUCUUCCCAGCAACUGGCUUACCGGGCGCGGCAACUCCCUUGCCGUACUUCUUGAAGUUCUUCUUACCCUUGCCCUUCUUGAACUUAGUGGUUUUAUUCACCAUCAACACUUGAUGUUCUUUUUUGAUCUCCACCUCCGCUGAUUUCAGCAUCGAAUAUACCUCAGGAAUGGUCUUUUCCAUCCCUUGCAUAUUGAAGUUCAUCACAAAGCUCUUGUAGCUUGGUGGAAGCGACUGAAGGAUUCUGUCAAUGACAGCGUCAUCCGGGAGAUUAACUCCCAGCUGAGACAAGCGGUUGUGCAACCCAGACAUUCUGAGUAUGUGCUCACUAACAGAACUAUUCUCCUCCAUUUUACAGCUGAAGAACUUGUCGGAGACUUCAUAUCUCUCGACCCGGGCAUGAGCUUGGAAAACCAUUUUCAGCUCUUCGAACAUCUCAUAUGCUCCAUGUUUCUCAAAACGCUUUUGGAGACCCGGUUCUAAGCUGUAAAGCAUGCCGCACUGAACGAGGGAGUAAUCAUCAGCACGCUGCUGCCAAGCGUUCAUAACGUCUUGGUUCUCUGGGAUUGGUGCUUCACCUAGCGGUGCUUCUAGGACAUAAUCUUUCUUGGCAGUUAUGAGGAUGAUCCUCAGGUUCCGGACCCAGUCCGUAUAGUUACUGCCAUCAUCUUUCAGCUUGGUUUUCUCUAGGAACGCGUUGAAGUUGAGGACAACGUGGGCCAUUUGAUCUACAAGACAAAGUGUAAAGAUUUAAUGAACUCCCACUCAGAUAGACAUCCCUCUAGUCAUCUAAGUGAAACAUGAUCCGAGUUAACUAGGCCGUGUCCGAUCAUCACGUGAGACGGACUAGUCAAGAUCGGUGAACAUCUCCAUGUUUAUCGUAUCUUCUAUACGACUCAUGCUCGACCUUUCGGUCCUCCGUGUUCCGAGGCCAUGUCUGUACAUGCUAGGCUCGUCAAGUCGACCUAAGUGUAUUGCGUGUGUUCCGAGGCCAUGUCUGUACAUGCUAGGCUCGUCAACACCCGUUGUAUGUGAACGUUAGAAUCUAUCACACCCGAUCAUCACGUGGUGCUUCGAAACAACGAACCUUCGCAACGGUGCACAGUUAGGGGGAACACUUUCUUGAAAUUAUUAUAAGGGAUCAUCUUACUUACUACCGUCGUUCUAAGCAAAUAAGAUGCAAAACAUGAUAAACAUCACAUGCAAUCAAAUAGUGACAUGAUAUGGCCAAUAUCAUUAUGCUCCUUUGAUCUCCAUCUUCGGGGCACCAUGAUCAUCUUCGUCACCGGCAUGACACCAUGAUCUCCAUCAUUGUGUCUUCAUGAAUUCGUCACGCCAACGAUUACUUCUACUUCUAUGGCUAACGCGUUUAGCAACAAAGUAAACUAAUUUACAUGGCGUUAUUCAAUGACACGCAGGUCAUACAAAAUAAUAAAGACAACUCCUAUGGCUCCUGCCGGUUGUCAUACUCAUCGACAUGCAAGUCGUGAUUCCUAUUACAAGAAUAUGAUCAAUCUCAUACAUCACAUAUAUCAUUCAUCACAUCUUCUGGCCAUAUCACAUCACAUAGCACUUGCUGCAAAAACAAGUUAGACGUCCUCUAAUUGUUGUUGCAAGUUUUUACGUGGCUUGUAGGUUUCUAGCAAGAACGUUUCUUACCUACGUAAAACCACAACGUGAUUUGCCAAUUUCUAUUUACCCUUCAUAAGGACCCUUUUCAUCGAAUCCGUUCCGACUAAAGUAGGAGAGCCAGACACCCGCUAGCCAUCUUAUGCAACUAGUGCAUGUCAGUCGGUGGAAUCUGUCUCACGUAAGCGUACGUGUAAGGUCGGUCCGGGCCGCUUCAUCCCACAAUACCGCCGAAACAAGAUAAGACUAGUAGCGGCAAGAAGAAUUGGCAACAUCAACGCCCACAACUGCUUUGUGUUCUACUCAUGCAUAGUAACUACGCAUAGGCCUGGCUCAUGAUGCCACUAUGGGGAUCAUAGCAGAAUUAUAAAAUUUUCCUACGCUCACCAAGAUCCAUCUAUGGAGUAUACUAGCAACGAGGGGAAAGGAGUGCAUCUACAUACCCUUGUAGAUCGCGAGCGGAAGCGUUCCAAUGAACGAGGUUGAUGGAGUCGUACUCGCCGUGAUCCAAAUCACCGAUGACCGAGUGCCGAACGGACGGCACCUCCGCGUUCAACACACGUACGGUGCAGCGACGUCUCCUCCUUCUUGAUCCAGCAAGGGGGAAGGAGAGGUUGAUGGAGAUCCAGCAGCACGACGGCGUGGUGGUGGAUGUAGCGGGAUCUCGGCAGGGCUUCGCCGAGUGUCUGCGAGAGGGAGAGGUGUAGCAGGGGAGGAGGGAGGCGCCCAAGGCUGUUGUCUUGCUGCCCUCCCUCCCCCCUUUAUAUAGGCCCCCUGGGAGGGGGGCGCCGGCCAAGACCCAUCUAGAUGGGGGGGCGGCGGCCAAGGGGGGUAACUUACCCCCCAAGUCAAGUGGGGCGCCCCCCACCCUAGGGUUUCCAACCCUAGGCGCAGGGGGGAGGCCCAUGGGGGGCGUCCCAGCCCACUAAGGGCUGGUUCCCUUCCCACUUCAGCCCAUGGGGCCCUCCGGGAUAGGUGGCCCCACCCGGUGGACCCCCGGGACCCUUCCGGUGGUCCCGGUACAAUACCGAUAACCCCCGAAACUUUCCCGGUGGCCGAAACUGGACUUCCUAUAUAUAAUUCUUCACCUCCGGACCAUUCCGGAACUCCUCGUGACGUCCGGGAUCUCAUCCGGGACUCCGAACAACUUUCGGGUUUCCGCAUACUCAUAUCUCUACAACCCUAGCGUCACCGAACCUUAAGUGUGUAGACCCUACGGGUUCGGGAGACAUGCAGACAUGACCGAGACGCCUCUCCGGUCAAUAACCAACAGCGGGAUCUGGAUACCCAUGUUGGCUCCCACAUGUUCCACGAUGAUCUCAUCGGAUGAACCACGAUGUCGAGGAUUCAAUCAAUCCCGUAUACAAUUCCCUUUGUCAAUCGGUAUGUUACUUGCCCGAGAUUCGAUCGUCGGUAUCCCAAUACCUUGUUCAAUCUCGUUACCGGCAAGUCUCUUUACUCGUACCGCAAUGCAUGAUCCCGUGACUAACGCCUUAGUCACAUUGAGCUCAUUAUGAUGAUGCAUUACCGAGUGGGCCCAGAGAUACCUCUCCGUCAUACGGAGUGACAAAUCCCAGUCUCGAUCCGUGCCAACCCAACGACACUUUCGGAGAUACCCGUAGUGUACCUUUAUAGUCACCCAGUUACGUUGUGACGUUUGGCACACCCAAAGUACUCCUAUGGUAUCCGGGAGUUGCACGAUCUCAUGGUCUAAGGAGAAGAUACUUGACAUUGGAAAAGCUCUAGCAAACGAACUACACGAUCUUUGAGCUAUGCUUAGGAUUGGGUCUUGUCCAUCACAUCAUUCUCCUAAUGAUGUGAUCCCGUUAUCAAUGACAUCCAAUGUCCAUAGUCAGGAAACCAUGACUAUCUGUUGAUCAACGAGCUAGUCAACUAGAGGCUUACUAGGGACACGUUGUGGUCUAUGUAUUCACACAUGUAUUACGAUUUUCGGAUAACACAAUUAUAGCAUGAACAAUAGACAAUUAUCAUGAACAAAGAAAUAUAAUAAUAACCAUUUAUUAUUGCCUCUAGGGCAUAUUUCCAACAGAUGCCACUUCUGCUAUGCAUGAUACUUAUGAUGAAACUACUUCUAUGCUUGAUACCACUGUGCCACUUGGUGAAUUUCUUGAUGAACAACUUGCUAGGGCUAGAGAGAAUGAAAUUAUUGAAACUGAUAAUAUUGAAGAUAGUGAUGAUGAAGAUUCUCCUCCUAAUAAAUAUGAAUUGCCUGUUGUGCCUGAGGGUUAUGUUCUGGAUGAAGAAUCCGCUAGAGCUAUUCUUGCUUGCAAUGAUAGAAGUGAUCUUAAGAAGUUAUUAGCUAAAUGGAAGCAGCAAUCUCUUAAUGCUAGAAUGAAACAUGACCCUGCUUUUGCUACUUCACCUAUCUGUGUUACUGAUAAGGAUUAUGAAUUCUCUGUUGAUCCUGAUAUAAUUACUUUGGUUGAAUCUGAUCCUUUUUAUGGCUAUGAAUCUGAAACUGUUGUGGCACAUCUUACUAAAUUAAAUGAUAUAGCCACCCUGUUCACUAAUGAUGAGAGAACUCACUAUUUUUAUAUCCUUAAAAUAUUUCUGUUCUCAUUAAAGGGUGAUGCUAAGAUAUGGUUUAAUUCUCUUGAUCCUGGUUGUGUGCGUAGUCCCCAGGAUAUGAUUUAUUACUUCUCUGCUAAAUAUUUCGCCGCUCAUAAGAAACAAGUUGCCUUAAGGGACUGAUGUCUACUACACAACCUUCUUCUUGUAGACGUUGUUGGGCCUCCAAGUGCAGAGGUUUGUAGGACAGUAGCAAAUUUCCCUCAAGUGGAUGACCUAAGGUUUAUCAAUCCGUGGGAGGCGUAGGAUGAAGAUGGUUUCUCUCAAACAACCCUGCAACCAAAUAACAAAGAGUCUCUUGUGUCCCCAACACACCCAAUACAAUUGUAAAUUGUAUAGGUGCACUAGUUCGGCGAAGAGAUGGUGAUACAAGUACAAUAUGGAUGAUAAAUAUGAGUUUUUGUAAUCUGAAAAUAUAAAAACAGCAAGGUAACUAAUGGUAAAAGUGAGCGUAAACGGUAUUGCAAUGCUAGGAAACAAGGCCUAGGGUUCAUACUUUCACUAGUGCAAGUUCUCUCAACAAUAAUAACAUAAUUGGAUCAUAUAACUAUCCCUCAACAUGCAACAAAGAGUCACUCCAAAGUCAGUAAUAGCGGAGAACAAACGAAGAGAUUAUGGUAGGGUACGAAACCACCUCAAAGUUACUCUUUCGGAUCGAUCUAUUCAAGAGUCCGUAGUAAAAUAACACGAAGCUAUUCUUUCCGUUCGAUCUAUCAUAGAGUUCGUACUAGAAUAACACCUUGAGACAAAAAUCAACCAAAACCCUAAUGUCACCUAGAUACUCCAAUGUCACCUCAAGUAUCCGUGGGUAUGAUUAUACCAUAUGCAUCACACAAUCUCAGAUUCAUCUAUUCAAACCAACACAUAGAACCUCAAAGAGUGCCCCAAAGUUUCUACCGGAGAAUCAAGACGAAAACGUGUGCCAACCCCUAUGCAUAGGUUCAUGGGCGGAACCCGCAAGUUGAUCACCAAAAUAUACAUCAAGUGGAUCAAUAUAUUACCCCAUUGUCA